AAAGCGUUUCGAUAAGGGCCAACCCCUUGCCACCACUUACAGAGGUUCCUCAGCGGGCAGUUGGCACAAUUGCAGCGCGGAGCCGCGAUUUGAACGGUUACUGUGUCUUUGGAGUCACGCGCCAUCGACGAUGCAGGCGUAGUCGGCGGAGGCGGAGGGCACCGAGGAGCUGCUCUCCAGCGCAUCCUUGCUAGUCGUGGGCUGCUCAUCGUCUCUUGGUUCGCCUGGCUCUUCGUACUUGGCUGCUAUAGCGUUCGGCAACGGCACCUGGCUGAGAAACGACUUUAUGUUGGUUUUCGGCAUGGGGCUAUGUCCAAUUGGCGACAGUUGCCAAAGGAACAAGUUCCAUUUUUGAAGAGCCUUCCUUGAAAUUCUUUAGAUGCUUCCCAACUGACUUCCAACCCGACCACGGCGACAUCCAAGUACACCAAGAUUUACAACACACAAUUUUGUGCUCAAUUUCGAAAAAAAAACCAAUACUUGUAAAAAUCA